AGUGAACGCUGGCGGUAGGCCUAACACAUGCAAGUCGAACGGCAGCACAGGAGAGCUUGCUCUCUGGGUGGCGAGUGGCGGACGGGUGAGGAAUACAUCGGAAUCUACCUUUUCGUGGGGGAUAACGUAGGGAAACUUACGCUAAUACCGCAUACGACCUACGGGUGAAAGUGGGGGACCGCAAGGCCUCACGCGAUUAGAUGAGCCGAUGUCCGAUUAGCUAGUUGGCGGGGUAAUGGCCCACCAAGGCGACGAUCGGUAGCUGGUCUGAGAGGAUGAUCAGCCACACUGGAACUGAGACACGGUCCAGACUCCUACGGGAGGCGGCAGUGGGGAGUAUUGGACAAUGGGCGCAAGCCUGAUCCAGCCAUACCGCGUGGGUGAAGAAGGCCUUCGGGUUGUAAAGCCCUUUUGUUGGGAAAGAAAUCCUAUCGGUUAAUAACCGGUGGGGAUGACGGUACCCAAAGAAUAAGCACUGGCUAACUUCGUGCCAGCCGCCGCGGUAAAAC
rnacentral:rRNA from 1 species